AUGUACCACUCGUACACUCCGGUUCCUGUGCGCCGCCCGCACCCACCUGACGACUACUCGCUACGUUUUGUUAGCC
rnacentral:sRNA from 1 species